CAGCUCAAGUGGUGACCGCUAUUAUUGGGCCUAAAACGUUCGUAGCCGGCUGAGUGAAUGCUUGGGUAAAUCGUGCCGCUUAACGGUACGAAUUCCGGGUAGACUGCUCAGCUUGAGACCGGGAGAAGCUAGAGGUACUCCUGGGGUAGAGGUGAAAUUCUGUAAUCCUGGGGGGACCACCAGUGGCGAAGGCGUCUAGCUAGAACGGGUCUGACGGUGAGGGACGAAACCCUGGGGCGCAAACCGGAUUAGAUACCCGGGUAGUCCAGGGCGCAAACGCUGCUUGCUUGAUGUUAGCUGGGCUCCGGGCUCAGCUAGUGUCGGAGAGAAGUUGUUAAGCAAGCUGCCUGGGAAGUACGAUCGCAAGAUUGAAACUUAAAGGAAUUGGCGGGGGAGCACAGCAACGGGUGGAGCGUGCGGUUUAAUUGGAUUCAACGCCGGAAAACUCACCGGAGGCGACGGUUACAUGAAGGCCAGGCUGAUGACCUUGCCUGAUUUUCCGAGAGGUGGUGCAUGGCCGCCGUCAGUUCGUACCGUAAGGCGUUCUGUUAAGUCAGAUAACGAACGAGACCCUCAUCCUUAAUUGCUACUGAUAACUUCGGUUGUCAGGCACAUUAAGGAGACCGCUGGCGAUAAGUCAGAGGAAGGCGAGGGCAACGGUAGGUCAGUAUGCCCUGAAUCUUCCGGGCUACACGCGCGCUACAAAGGCCAGGACAAUGGGUGUCAACACCGAAAGGUGACGGUAAUCUCGAAACCUGGUCAUAGUUCGGAUUGAGGAUUGAAACUCAUCCUCAUGAAGCUGGAAUCCGUAGUAAUCGCGGAUCA
rnacentral:rRNA from 1 species